rnacentral:tRNA from 1 species
UCCAGGGUAGCCGAGUGGACAAGGCGCCUGCCCGGUAAGCAGAAGGGUGUGGGUUCGAUUCCCGCCCCUGGAC